UACGGGGGGAGCAAGCGUUGUUCGGAUUUACUGGGCGUAAAGGGCGCGUAGGCGGUCGUGUCAGUCUACUUGUGAAAUCUCCGGGCUUAACUCGGAACGGUCAAGUGAUACUGUCGGACUAGAGUACAGAAGGGGCAACUGGAAUUCUCGGUGUAGCGGUGAAAUGCGUAGAUAUCGAGAGGAACACCUGCGGCGAAGGCGGGUUGCUGGGCUGAUACUGACGCUGAGGCGCGAAAGCCAGGGGAGCGAACGGG
rnacentral:rRNA from 1 species